rnacentral:rRNA from 1 species
UACAGAGGGUGCAAACGUUGCUCGGAAUUAUUGGGCGUAAAGCGCGUGUAGGCGGCUUGUUAAGUUGGUUGUGAAAACCCAUGGCUCAACCAUGGAAGGGCGUCCAAAACUGGCAAGCUAGAGUCCCGACGAGGAUGGCGGAAUUCCCAGUGUAGAGGUGAAAUUCGUAGAUAUCGGGAGGAACACCUGUGGCGAAGGCGGCCGCCUGGUUGGAUACUGACGCUGAGACGCGAAAGCGUGGGGAGCAAACAGG